rnacentral:rRNA from 1 species
AUUGAACGCUGGCGGAAUGCUUUGCACAUGCAAGUCGAACGGCAGCAUAGGUGCUUGCACCUGAUGGCGAGUGGCGAACGGGUGAGUAAUACAUCGGAACGUGCCCAGUCGUGGGGGAUAACGUAGCGAAAGUUACGCUAAUACCGCAUACGAUCUAAGGAUGAAAGCGGGGGACCGUAAGGCCUCGCGCGAUUGGAGCGGCCGAUGUCAGAUUAGGUAGUUGGUGAGGUAAAGGCUCGCCAAGCCGACGAGCUGUAGCUGGUCUGAGAGGACGACCAGCCACACUGGGACUGAGACACGGCCCAGACUCCUACGGGAGGCAGCAGUGGGGAAUUUUGGACAAUGGACGCAAGUCUGAUCCAGCCAUUCCGCGUGCAGGACGAAGGCCUUCGGGUUGUAAACUGCUUUUGUACGGAACGAAAAAGCUCUUACUAAUACUAGGAGUCCAUGACGGUACCGUAAGAAUAAGCACCGGCUAACUACGUGCCAGCAGCCGCCGUAA